AAGUCGUAACAAGGUUUCCGUAGGUGAACCUGCGGAAGGAUCAUUAAAGAUUCGGGCUUCGGCCUAACCUCUUCAGCUGUGCGCUUCGGCUGCACGCUGUCGAAACCUCUCACACCUGUGCACCUUUUCGGUUGCGGCGUUCGCGUCGCUUCCGCUUUACACAUUUUACUACAAAAGUCCAGAAUGUCAAAACUAUAUACAUAAUACAACUUUCAACAACGGAUCUCUUGGCUCUC
rnacentral:misc_RNA from 1 species